UCCUUAUUUAUAUAUUUAUUUAUUUUUUCUUCCUCGCCCUGCCCGUCCACCGUUUCAGGCUCUGCUACAAUUACCAGUCCCAGUUUUCUCUGCUUCGAUCAUACGAACUCCUUUCCCUAAUCUAAUUUCCAAUCACAGACGCUACUUCAUCUUUCCAAGGCUAGCAUGGGAAUUUCUAUCAAUUCCGUGCUUAACAUCGUUGUCGGUCCUCGCUAAGUUCUUUAAGAUGUUCCUCACCUAUCUGAUUACAUCCCUAAUCUUCCUAAAAAUCUCAUCAACCAAUGAAAAAGCAGGUGAAGAUGGAAGAUGAAGAUAUGUGAAAUGAAAGGGAAAAGUGAGUCUACGAUUGUAGGGGGAUAACUGAAGGAACGUGAUACCGUAGCUAUUAAGGGCAUUAUGGGAAUUUAAACAAAGUAUUUUCUGCAGUGGAUCCAGCAUUUCUCUUAAUAUUAUUGGCUAAUUUGGAAAAUUUAAUUAGAGUUUAUUAUUAUAAUAAAUUGAGAAACUUAAUUUAAUUUA